AGGAGGUGGGAUACACCUUGACCUGGUUGCCAGCCUAUCACAGGACUGAAAUUUUUGCAAUUUAUUUAAAAAGAAAAGAUAUCACACAGCCAUGAAUAUUGAGACACUUUCUUGGACACAAAUUUAACUCUGGUGCUGUCCAUUUCUCUCAUCAUCCUUGAGGUUGUUCUACACUUUGAUUGGAGUCCAGCUGUGUUUUAUCCUGAUUAGAAAAGGCACAUAGGUGUCUAUACAAGACCUUACACUUAUAAGACCUGAAGAGCUCAGAGACAGAACUGUGGAAAGGCACAGAUCAGGGCAGGGUUCCCCAAAAAAAAAAAAAAAACACUUCAGGUUCUCAGGACCACAGUGACCUCCAUAACCAUUUAAUGGAAGAUUUUUGGGAUGACCAGAACCCUUCCUAUAUCUGGGAGUCCUGCCAAAAUUAGCAAUUGGGGGAGAAGAGCCUUGUUGUGAGGGGUAAAGAAGAACCAGAGAUGGGAGAAAGUUCUCUAAAGGAGAAAUCCAGUGCUUUGCAUUAACAGUCUAUCCAAUAGGUCAUGUAAUAUGCACUCUAUUUUGACAAUGUGAUGCUAAAUCCUCUGUCAUUUAAUAGUGUUUUGAGAAAAUUUUAAUUACUAAUUUUAAGGACCGCUGCCAUUUUCGUGAGUCACAUGAUGUACGUGGGUGUAUGCGACAUGUACUGUGCCGUUCCAAACGUUCAACUACAUGCGACACCAUUAUGCCCAGCGCUGAUUUCUUGUAUUUAUCCUCAUCUGAUGAAGAAAUAGCAGUAUCGGUUCAUCGAGAAGACUAAGGAAUACUUCCAUACAUAUUUGAACCUGUGGCUGUAAUUAAUGUUGAAUAUUCGGAUGGUUCUUCGGGCGGAAUGAUGCUGAGUCUGACUACGCGGAGGCCUACGUGCGACAUAAGUGCGUAAACAAAGGCCCCUGGGAACCCUGGCCCGGCAGCCGCGGAUAUUUCUUCAGACCGGAAUGACGCGGAGUCUGACGAGCAAGCUCCGUUGGCGGGCUGCGAGCUGAGCUUUCAGGCAGCGGAGGCUUUUAGCCGAGGUUCGGCGUCCGGGGCUAAUGAAGCGGCCAGCGGCGGAGGCGGUCAGCGGCGGACGCCGAAGCAGGGAUAAAGGCCUCCACCACCACCGAAGCUCGACUAAAGGCCUCCCCGAACGUUGAAGCUCGGCUCGCGGCCUCCCACUCGGGCUUGUGGCCCGCCUUCGGUGGCGGCGGAUGGCUUUAGCCUAGCUUCGGCGUCCGGGGCCAGCGAAGCGGGCGGCGGCAGAGGCCUUUAGCUGGCUGGAACCUCGGCCCGCGGCCGCUGUUGGAGCUCGCUCGUCCGACUCCGCGUCAUUCACGUCAGAAGAACCAGCCGCGUCUGCCAGCGCAGAGCUCCCAGGUGCCUUUGUUUUCGCGCUUAUGUCAUGCGUUGGCCUCAGAGUAGUUGGCUUUAUGGUAGAGUGGUCUGACAAAAAUCUCUCCUCAAUUUAAGACAUGAAAGUCUGAAUGGAGUUUGUGUGGGGGUGGAACCUGAAGGACUCCGAGAUGUUGCGAAACAAAGUCUUUGGUCUGAUGAAACCAAGAUAAAUUUUUUUGGUCUUAAUUCUAUGCAGUAUGUGUGUAGAAAACAAGCCACUGCUCAUCAGCUGUCCCAAAACAGUCCCAAACAGCGAAGAAUGGUGGUGACAGCGUAAUCAUGUAGGGAAGUUUUUCAGCUGUAUGGACAGGACGACUGAUUGUAAUCGGAAGGAAAGAUGUUGACACCCAAGUAUAGGGAUAUCCUGGACAAAAACCUCCAGAGUGCUUAGUACCUCUGACCUGGCCGUAGGUUCACCUUCCAACAAGACAACGACCCUAAGAACAGCUAAAAUAGAGCCGUGCCUUCACAAUAACUCUGUGACUGUUGUUGAAUUGCCCAGCCAUAGCCCUGACUUAAACCCAAUUAACCAUCUACGAAGAGACCUGAAAAUGACUGUCCACCAAUGUUCACCAUCCAACCUGACAGAACUGGAGACUAUCUGCAAGAAGGAAUGGCAGAGGAUCCCCAAAUCCAGGCAAAUAUGUUUUGGAAAUUUGAUCUCCAUGCCGCAUCACACAUUGACACUCUGCUGGAGAGGGACGAUGUAAAACUAACAGAUAUAAUGGAUGAGGAAGAUGUUCUACAAGAAUGCAAAGCCCAAAAUCACAAACUAGUUGACUUCCUCCUGAGACCAGAGUGCAUGGAAGACCUUGUCACCUUCAUCACACAGGAACCAAGUGCGGAUGUUGAGGAAAACAUCAAAUACAAGUAUCCCAACAUAUCAUGUGAGCUGCUUACAUCAGAUGUGAGCCAAAUUAACGACAGAUUAGUGGAAGAUGAAAAACUGCUGAUAAGAUUGUAUAGCUUUCUCGAGAAUGAGACACCUCUUAAUCCUCUUCUUGCCAGCUUCUUCUCCAAGGUCCUGUCUAUUCUUGUAGGACGCAAACCUGAACAGAUUGUGGAGUUUCUCCGGAAGAGGGAGGAUUUUGUAGACCUGAUGAUCAAACACAUAGGGACAUCAGCCAUUAUGGACCUGCUUCUCAGAAUGCUCACCUGCAUUGAACCACAGCUGUUACGACAUGAUGUUCUGAAUUGGCUGAAUCAGGAAAAUAUAAUUCAGAGGCUUGUGGACAUGGUACAACCCUCUCAGGAUGAGGACAGACACUCCAACGCCUCACAGUCACUGUGUGAGAUCAUUAGACUGAGUAGAGACCAGCUGUUCCAAGUCCAGGGAUGCCUGCAGCCAGAUCCAUUACUGGCUACGCUUGAAAAGCAGACCACAGUGGAGAAGCUUCUGUCUCAUAUCUUCGAUAAGGAGAAGAAUGAAUCUGCAAUUGUCAGUGUUAUCCAGAUCCUUCUUACGUUGUUUGAGACGAGACGACCAGCGUUUGAGGGCCAUAUGGAAUGCUCCCCUAGCAUGUCCCACCCUUCAUUCUCAGUCAAUCAUAGCAUCUUGGAGGCUGUGAGACCACGGCUUAAAGAUUUUCAUCAACUCCUGCUGGAUCCCCCGAAGGUUAGGUUAGGCAAUGUAAGAAGAACCCCCAACAGCCUCAACCUCGAUCGGAAUCACGAGACUGACAAGGGAGGUGCCCGGGCCUUCCUUGACAUAAUGUCCCAACUCAAGAAUGACAUCCUGAAGACAACGUGGGGAGUGCUCGAUCCUCCUGUGGGUAACACGAGGCUCCAUGUGGUCAGACUAGUGGUCAGUCUGUUGCAAACCAACACUCCUUGCAUCAGUAAAGAGCUCAUUCACCUCAACACCCUGGGAGUAAUACUUGAUAUGUAUUUCAGAUACAUCUGGAACAACUUCCUCCACAUUCAGGUGGAAAUCUGUACAGCGGUGAUUUUGGUAAUGCCUCCUUUUACUACUAAUGUCCAGCUUGACACAGAACAGGAAAAUGCCAAGGAGAGCAUCCUCGUCAGACAUUUGUUUCAGAAAUGCCAUAUCAUACAGCGAAUUGUUGAAGCUUGGAACACUAAUGAAAAGGAACAGGUAGAAGGUGGCCGGCGGCGAGGAUACAUGGGUCAUCUCACCAGAAUAGCUAAUUCGAUAAUUCAUAACUGUGAUAAAGGGCCUAAUGGAUUGCAGAUACAACAGCUCAUCUCUGAGCUAAAAUUGGAGGACAGAGAAAAAUGGGAGGCCUUCAUAUCUGGGCAGCUGGCUGACACAAACAAGAGAAACACGGUUGACCUGGUGAACACACACCAGAUCCAAUCCUCGACUGAUGAUGUUGACUUUAAAGAUAGCAGCUUUCACCAUGACUCAACUCUACAACAAGCGUUUUCUGAUUAUCAGAUGCAACAAAUGACGUCCAGUUUUAUUGAGCAGUUUGGCUUCAAUGAUGAAGAGUUUGCAGAUCCUGAUGAUGUUUUGGAUAUUCCCUUUGACAGAAUAUCAGACAUCAGUUUUUCACUGAAUACAAAUGAAAGUGUGAAAGUAGCUAUGUUUGAAGCACGCUGUAUGGAGAAAAUCCAGCAGUUUGAGGAUGCUGGUUCAGAUGAUGAGGAUAUCUGGAAUGAAAAAGAUGUCACCUUUGCCCCAGUUGCACAGAGGCGCCCCAGGAGUGCAGGGAGCACAGACAGUGAGGACAGCACUGACUCGGAGGAAGAGGAUUCCAAGAAAGAUGCAUAUGUAGCGUUGAAUCCCAGCAAUGAAGACAUUAUGGAAGUUGAAACAGAGACAGCAUGGAGUAGCUAUUGUGCUCCAAAUUCCAGCACUGAGACAGCCUGGGCUGAUUUCUCCAAUUUCUCAACCACCAGCCCCAAUGACCCACUAAUGUGCAACUCUCCCGUUGCUAUGGAAACCACCAUAGAGAAGCUGGAUCCACUCGGUGUCAUUGACCCAUUAUAUUCAGAGGAAAGUCAUGACUGGUUGAGUCCCGGUAUUUCUUCUUCCUCUGUCACUUCUAAAGGUUGUGCAAGAUCUAAAAUGGGGGAUGAAACUAUCUGCAAUGUGCAAUGCAGUAUUACAGAUACAGUAUUGAAUGGCUCCAUAAAAGAGACUUUCAGCCUUACUGUUGAUGCAAAGACAGAGACAGCUGUCUUCAAGAGAGUGUUGAAAUCGUACCGGUAUGUACCACCAAUCAAAAUUCAGCCUGCAGCCAUCAACCUCAAACAUUUCUGUCCAUAUUUUGAUACUGUUCACAUUUAUCUAUUGUCUCUGUUUUGCAUGUGAUGUGAUUAGAAACGUUUUUCAUUUGGGAGUUUAAUGUGAAAGUUUGUAUAAAAGUUCCAGAAAUAUAUUUAAUGAGUUGUUUGGUCAUAAUGACAAUGGCUAUAUGUUUGAGGCAAAAGGGGGGACGCUUCAGAACACCAGCUGAAACAUUAGGUAAACCACUGUUUUGUUCGGGCCUGCUUUUCUGCAGGAGGGACUCAACAUAAAACAAUGGCAUUGCCAUGUUAAAAGGAAAGUCGAAGUUGGAAUCUUUUUGCUCUUAAAAUGUCAUGAAAAUUUUUGCCGAUGACUUUUGAAAUAUUGGUAUUGUCGAACAAUUCAAACCCUUUUACAGCGCCAUAUUCACCUAAACAACAGGAGAAAAAGCAGGGGAAUAGUUUUGCAGUUUUGCCCUUUUGCAAAUGGAAGAAAUAAUGGAAACAUGGAACGUUUUCUCUGAGUUAUGCCUCUACAUUUUCCUAUGAGAAUUGUAAAAAAGUGGAGGAAGAAAAUAUAUCCAGAGAAUACCUCACACUGAAAGCACAUUCUAGUGGGCCAUUAUUUGCACAGGGUGCAACAUUUACAAAUAAAAGACAGGCAAUUGUCAGUGAUCAAGUUAUUAGUCUUAAACCAAACCUGCAUUUGAUUUAGCCCUAGUAGGACUGAGAGGCUCUGAUAAUCGUGGGAGUUCUAGUGUUAACGUUCCCAGGAAUUUGUUCACGUUAAGACUGUCAUUUUGAACUUCUCUGCCUGGAGACCAACUCUAUAUCAAUUUUUCAUAUCGGUAUCCAAAAUUUAGCUGGAAUAAAAUUUCAAAAUACCUCCUUUUCCUUUCCCCCCAAAACCCUCUGCGUCUAAACGAGGUCAUAUACUGAAAAUAACAAGUGAAGGGUUUUGCGAUGCCUGGCAAUCGAAGCUCUUUAUUCCGCUUGCUAUAAUCUGCCUAAUCUUUUUUGUCCAAGGGAUGAAAGUUCUUAGUGUGUAUGUAUGUCGCCAUAUCACCAGUAAAGCGCUGCUUUGUCUUUCGAGCAGCCAGGAGUCAGCUAGAGCUCAGACGAACUGUGUUCCCCACCACCAGCCUUUUUUUUUCUUUGCACUCCUUCAGACAGAUUCUUGUCACUGCACCAGCAACAGGCAAUGUGGGGGGAGGGGGGUGUUGGGAACCGUGCUGAGUGUUGCGCGUAGACAGCUGUGCUGUAGGUCGAACGAGGCCAUUUGUUGGUCUUUCAGAUUGCACUCUUCUUGAUUUUUGUCAUAGGGUGAGCCCACUGUGGAACCCAGUUCGUGACCAAAAUCUGACAUUCUCCCCUGAGCCAGCUCGGACAGAUCAGACCACAGGCAAUACAGUUAUCAGUCACUUCCCCGGAACAUAGCCCUUUCAGAAAAUGUGUCUAAAUAUAAGUCAACCUUAUUUCCAGAUAUUUUAGUUUUUUUCUAAAAGUUGUUAAUCCUUGACCAAUUCUUUUUCACCCAACUUUCUUUUUUUUUUCUUUGUUGUUCUCCACACCAGUAAUUUGUUUUUGCUCUUCCCCUGUCCCAUUUUUCAGUACUUCCUACAAAACUAGGAUCCCACUUCUGACACCAACUGUUUUGGCAAUUCUUUUUUAGGACAGAAUAAGUAAGGAAGCAGUCUUCUCUUUGUGUUUUUUUUUUAAAUAAAAAAAAGAAUAGUAUUUGAAAGAAAGGAAAAUGUACAAGUCUUACGAGUUGGCAUCCGUUACUGACAAUUGUCAUGUUCUCGGAUUACAAAAUAAAAGUUGGACUGUAUUUCAAGAGCCAGAAAAUACAAAGAGGUUAUAUUCUGAAAAAUCUUAAUGUUCUCAUUUUUGACAUCUUCACAAAACAGUAGAAUCUUAAAAAAUUGUGAGUAUUCUCAUUCUACAGAUCUUAAGUGAACUGUUUUGAAAUAUGAAACAAAAAAGGUUUUUGUUUUAUAAUGCGGUUUCUUAUAUGAGCCCCCCCAUCCGCCCAAUAGAGAUCGUCUGCAUGACGUCACUGUUUAUGCCGCCAUAUUCCCGGUCAAACAAAGCUGCUCAGCAGUGGAGGAGUCACUAAACUGGAUCAAAUUUUUCACAAUGCCCAAGACCUGUUGUGUUGUUGCUUGUCACAAUAGACAAGACAGUUCUUCAAAGUUAUCAUUUUAUAGGAUACCAGCUGAAAAGACCAGAAAAGAUCAAUGAAUUUUGGCACUUAAAACAGGAUGGAUGGUGCCCAACGAAAUAGACACGAGUAUUUAGCGAUCAUUUCAUUUCAGGUAGGAAUUAUUAUUCUCAAUCACAAAUUAUUAAGAAGUAUUUAUAAUGCCAAAUUGACUGAUUUGAAAACAUGCGUAUUUAAAAAAAAGAAAAAAAACUGUCACAGAGAGGUUCACGGAGGAGACGACUCCAUAUCCUAAUUUUUUUUUCUCGCACAACUGGGAUAUGGAUGAGUACAAUAUUUCAAAAACAGCAACAUCAAUCUAUGAAUACUUCUUGGUUCGUUAGAGACGUAAUAAAGUCUAAGCUUCAAACACUCCAGUUAGAGUUGUUGUCAGUUUUAAAAAAAAUUGUGAGCCCUUCUAUAUUGGCAAUAACUUGGUCCAAAAUCAUAGCUAGAUCUAAUGGCCUGUCUUAUGCAAGUUAUGGCUGACAAGAUCUAGUAUUGCAAGUUGCAACUUACCUUUGCCAUCAAGAUGAGACUUAUUUCGUUCAAUUUACACGACACAUCUUUGACCCAUCCAGCAGCGAAGUAUUUGUAUGCGUCCAGACUUUGAUACGCUUUCAAACUCUUCCAUGUAAAGCUCAACGACUUAUUCACCGGAUACAUGUGUAUAUCCAGUUGUCCAAGACGGAAGCGAAUUAAGUCAAAUUUUUUUACUGGCGAAAACAUUGACUUCAUCAUAAAAAAUGGAUCCUCUAUGCCAAGUGUCUCUAAUUUUUUUCACGUACCUUCGUUUAUUAUCACCUUCUAAAUGUUGAACAGUAUCAGACAAAACUCUUCGUUUCAUGCUAUCAGACUUAUUUUUGUUUCGUCUCAACGGAAUUAACUUUCAAAAAUGCUUUGUUUGACCGGCAGUAUGACGGCGUAAAUGAAAAUUACGUGAUUUUAUGACGUAGGCGCAUUCCCUCUAUUACUGCAGGUCCAAAAAGCUUUAGUAUCUGUCUUUUUCACCUUUCCUUGCAACAUUUCUCCUCAUCUCUGACUGGGGCUGCAGGUCAUCAUGAAUUAGCGCCGCCUGAGAUUGAGUGAAGAGGGUGGCUGAACAUGCAUGUCAUUGGUCGGUACAGUUGGUCUCUACCAUAAAGCUUGCGAUGUUCCGCGACUUGAAAUUAAAGUGCACUAUGUAUUGAAUCAUAACCUUUCUUUCUUGGCUGUUGUUAUGAGUCCGUAUGGGACUUUUUCCAGGUCGAGACACGGACUGUUGUUCAUCAGUCAGGCACAUUUGUUUUAAACGAUUUUGCCACAAUCAAUUGAGCCAGAGUGAGCUGUUUUACGGCUUAACUCACUAGCUAGUUAGCUCACGAGCUAGCAAAGAUUAAUACUUGACUUUCCCUUAAGUGUCGCAGUUGUGUGCAGCACGUUACCACAACAAUGAAAAUGAACACACAAACAAGCAACCAAUGGUGUGCGUCUGUAGAAGCAAAUUGAUCAUACGUCCCAGCUAAUUUUUGUGCAUCUCGAGAUCCUUAAGGUACCAAUAAUAGUGUUAAUUUCCCCCAUUAAAACCACAUCACAAUUUUUUUAGUCAUUAUUUCUGAGGUAGACUGUAAAGGAUCAAUGGAAUUUCCUUUCCUAUAAUCGGAAAAGAUGAUUUGGGUUUUUUUCCGCGGGUGUGGAACAAAUUAAACUUGGAUCUCAUGGCCCCACUAUAUUGCUAUUAUAAUUGUUAAAACGAUACUUAUGUGGAAGCUGUGAAUAUGCUAUAAAAAGAAAAGCUAAUGUUCAGUUAAAAAAAGGUUUUAUUGUGGCUGCAAUACAGAAUGCCAGAUGUUGAAAGCUAGUCUUUGCGAAACAAGGGAAAUUUAUGGGGGUUUAUAUACAACAUAGAUUUGUGCCUAUGGAUAAAUUUGACCCAAUCUCAGUUCAAGGAAAUCCCCUUGUGCACCAAAUACUUGUUUUUAAAUUUAGCGCCCAUGUUCCAAAGUAUAAUCUGCAACCUUAGAAAAACUGUUUCAAAUCAAUCAUUGAAAACAAAUUAGUACAACAUUCAUGCCCAUGAAGGUGGCGUUAAUGUGUAAGAUAAUCAAGCUUUUUAAGAUUCAACUCCAACUAUCCCUUUAUGGACCUUACUGCACUGGGAUGCAGGAAUAGAUAAGGACUUCUCUAAAAUAUGCAGUAGUUUGCACUUGUCUUUUCUGAUUCUUGAAGCUCCUCUAAUGUUGGGCUCAAGGCAGUGAUAACUUAUGGUUUACAAUGCAAUUUAAGCAUAAACGAAAUCCUUAAUUACCUUAAUUUUGCCUCAAUCUGGGUUUCUUCGGUUGGAUCUAGACAUUAAAAUGGAUGUAUCUUUUAUCAUGAGUGCUGUGCCAAGUUUCUAUAUUUUUACAUCACGAUUUACCUGUGUAAUUUUUGUACAAGUUUUUUUUUGUUGUUGUUUUUUGUCAAUACAUGGACUGCAUCUUUUUUUUGUAUUGAUAUCUGUUAAUGUGAGUUACAACAUACUUUUUUUUUUCCAUUGACUAUGUAUCUCCUCUUGUAAGCAGUGAAAAAUGCAAGUACACAGUGGAAUUCCCCAAUGGCACUCAAGAGGAAAUGUCAAACAUCGAUGAUGCCAAGUAGACUGGAUCAGAGUGCCAUGUCCUCAAAUCCAGCAGUAAAUGGACCAGCAUGAGAAUUGUGUAUUCUCAGUUUUUAGCCAGCAUAAUUUACCACUGAGAAGAUUCUCUCAAGGACUUAGCCAAGGCCACUGGCCAAACCUGGUCAUGCAACUUUCUUGGACAGAGUCAGCAACAUUGCCAUCGAUUCAGAUAAAUCGCAAUGCUGUACUGUUGUAUGUGCAACUGACAUCUUCUCAUUCAGAUUUAUUUAGGAAUGUCAAAAGGGGUAAAAAGAUGAUUGUAUGAAUAAAAUAUUUUUUAAAAUGUAA